UACGUAGGGUGCAAGCGUUAAUCGGAAUUACUGGGCGUAAAGCGUGCGCAGGCGGUUGUGCAAGACAGAUGUGAAAUCCCCGGGCUUAACCUGGGAACUGCAUUUGUGACUGCAUGGCUAGAGUGUGUCAGAGGGGGGGUAGAAUUCCACGUGUAGCAGUGAAAUGCGUAGAGAUGCGGAGGAACACCGGUGGCGAAGGCGGGUCUCUGGGCAGUAACUGACGCUGAGGAGCGAAAGCGUGGGGGAGCGAACAGG
rnacentral:rRNA from 1 species